AAGUCGUAACAAGGUUUCCGUAGGUGAACCUGCGGAAGGAUCAUUACCGAACAACCAAAUCCUCUGUGCCUCCUUGUAGCAGGCAGGAUCGGGGUUCCAAGAGGUUGCCUUCCAGCACCCCUUGGUCCCCAUGCUGCCACUACGUUCCUCCUAUUUUACCAAACAAAACCUGUCUGUCGCAUGUUUGUGGCAUCCCCUUGUCGGGGCUUGCCCUUUAAACAUAUCAAACAUAACUUUCAACAACGGAUCUCUUGGCUCUC
rnacentral:misc_RNA from 1 species